rfam:Triticum aestivum genome assembly, contig: Triticum_aestivum_CS42_TGACv1_scaffold_581179_7BL
UUUGCACUCCCUCCAUCCCAAAAUUCUUGUCUUAAAUUUGUCUAAAUACGGAUGUAUCUAGUUACAUUUUAGUGUUAGAUACAUCCGUAUCUAAACAAAUGUAAGACAAGAAUUUUGGGACGGAGGGAAUACUAC